AAAAAACCAAACCCUGGGUUUUUGUGUCCAACUUUAACUGUCCGUCUUAUAUAAAAUUUUUUUAUAAUUCGUAUUUUUAUUGUUUAGAUGAUAAAACAUGAUUAAAUUUUAUGCGUAACUUGUAUUUUUAAUUUUUUUUUCAUAAUUUUUCAAAUAAGACGAACGGUUAAAUGUUGGACACGGAAACUAGCGUUUGUCUUUUUU
rfam:Oryza barthii chromosome 7, whole genome shotgun sequence.